rnacentral:misc_RNA from 1 species
AUGCGCUAAAAAAAUGACAAAAUUGCAUUAUUUCAAAAAAAUUCACUCAACCAUAGAAAGAAGCAAACUACAUGAGUUACCAACACUUGCAUAGAAGAGUUACUGCAACUACAAAACAAGGACAAGAACUUCAUUGAAUAAACUUGGUUUACAUGAUGGAGAACAGAAAGAAAAAUGUUCAUAACAUAAGGGGAAAUGUUCUCCAUUGUGCUUUUGCUGCCCACUGAUUCAUCACUUGGAUGAGAAUUGAACAAUCCUCAAACGGAAUCUGCACGGAAGCUAGAACAGUAAUUCCCCUGCAGAAUGUCAAAACAAGUAGCAAAAGAGAUAUCCCAGAAACUCCACCAGAAAGAAGUAGUUUAUUUUUUUUUUUAU